UGGGGAAUAUUGGACAAUGGGCGCAAGCCUGAUCCAGCAAUGCCGCGUGUUUGAAGAAGGCCUUCGGGUUGUAAAGCACUUUUAUCAGGAGCGAAAUACCACGGGUUAAUACCCUAUGGGGCUGACGGUACCUGAGGAAUAAGCACCGGCUAACUUCGUGCCAGCAGCCGCGGUAAUACGAAGGGUGCAAGCGUUAAUCGGCAUUACUGGGCGUAAAGCGUGCGUAGGUGGUGAUUUAAGUCUGCUGUGAACUCCCCGGGCUCAACCUGGGAAUGGCAGUGGAUACUGGAUUGCUAGAGUGUGAUAGAGGAUGGUGUAAUUCCCGGUGUAGCGGUGAAAUGCGUAGAGAUCGGGAGGAACAUCAGUGGCGAAGGCGGCCAUCUGGAUCAACACUGACACUGAGGCACGAAAGCGUGGGGAGCAAACAGG
rnacentral:rRNA from 1 species